AGAGUUUGAUCAUGGCUCAGAUUGAACGCUGGCGGAAUGCUUUACACAUGCAAGUCGAACGGCAGCACGGACUUCGGUCUGGUGGCGAGUGGCGAACGGGUGAGUAACAUAUCGGAACGUAUCCAAUAAUGGGGGAUAACUAAUCGAAAGGUUGGCUAAUACCGCAUACGCCCUACGGGGGAAAGCUAGGGACCUUCGGGCCUGGCGUUAAUGGAGCGGCCGAUAUCUGAUUAGCUAGUUGGUGGGGUAAAGGCCCACCAAGGCGACGAUCAGUAGCUGGUCUGAGAGGACGACCAGCCACACUGGAACUGAGACACGGUCCAGACUCCUACGGGAGGCAGCAGUGGGGAAUUUUGGACAAUGGGCGCAAGCCUGAUCCAGCCAUUCCGCGUGAGUGAAGAAGGCCUUCGGGUUGUAAAGCUCUUUCGCAAGGGAAGAAAACUUAGGCUCUAACAUAGCCUGAGGUUGACGGUACCUUGAUAAGAAGCACCGGCUAACUACGUGCCAGCAGCCGCGGUAAUACGUAGGGUGCGAGCGUUAAUCGGAAUUACUGGGGCGUAAAGCGUGCGCAGGCGGUUUUGUAAGUCAGAUGUGAAAUCCCGAGCUCACUUGGGAACUGCGUUUAAACUNCAAGACUAGAAUAUGCAGAAGGGGGUAGAAAUCCACGUGUACCAGUGAAAUCGUAAAGAUGUGAGGAAUCCAAUGGCAAAGAACCCCCUGGAAAANNUGCCCUNAUCCCAAANCUGGGACAACNGGAUUAAACCCUGGNACCCGCCUAACAUCUCCANUGUGG
rnacentral:rRNA from 1 species